UACAGAGGGGGCAAGCGUUGUUCGGAAUUACUGGGCGUAAAGGGCGCGUAGGUGGCCUUCUAAGUCGAACGUGAAAUCCCCGGGCUCAACCCGGGAACUGCGUCCGAUACUGGAAGGCUUGAAUCCGGGAGAGGGAUGCGGAAUUCCAGGUGUAGCGGUGAAAUGCGUAGAUAUUGGGAGGAACACCAGUGGCGAAGGCGGCUCACUGGACCGGAACUGACGCUGAGGAGCGAAAGCGUGGGGAGCAAACAGG
rnacentral:rRNA from 1 species